rnacentral:rRNA from 1 species
AGUGAACGCUGGCGGUAGGCCUAACACAUGCAAGUCGAACGGCAGCACAGUAAGAGCUUGCCCUUACGGGUGGCGAGUGGCGGACGGGUGAGGAAUACAUCGGCAUCUACUUUUUCGUGGGGGACAACGUAGGGAAACUUACGCUAAUACCGCAUACGACCUACGGGUGAAAGCAGGGGAUCUUCGGACCUUGCGCGAUUGAAUUAGCCGAUGUCGGAUUAGCUAGUUGGCGGGGUAAAGGCCCACCAAGGCGACGAUCCGUAGCUGUGCUGAGAGGAUGAUCAGCCACACUGGAACUGAGACACGGUCCAGACUCCUACGGGAGGCAGCAGUGGGGAAUAUUGGACAAUGGGCGCAAGCCUGAUCGAGCCAUGCCGCGUGGGUGAUGAAGGCCUUCGGGUUUUAAAGCCCUUUUGUUGGGAAAGAAAAGCAGCAGGUUAAUACCUCGCUGUUCUGACGGUACCCAACGAAUAAGCACCGGCUAACUACGUG